AUGAUUAUCAUUCGGUUCUUUCCACGUCAAACGUCUGAACGGUUGAACCUCAUCGAAAUGGCCACACGCAUCGUCCCGCUGUUCGUGCUGUGCGCGGUAAUGUGCCAGACGUGUCUCGCAAAACCAGCGAAAGUGCUCCAGAAUCCACAAUCUUUGAGCCCUGUGCAACACGAAGAAGCGAUAUCCACGGUUUCUGAUAACAAGAGGGAACAACGAUCGCCGCAGUUCGGAUUUUUGAACGGAGAUUACCCAGACUCUGACUCGGAUUUCGAAGAAGGAGAACGUAGCUUUAAACAUCACUACAAGCAUCAUCGCAAAUCAGGAGGCUGUAGAGAUUAUUCUUGUGGACAAUAUCCUGGAUACGCACCAUCUGUUUAUCCAUCGUAUCCAACACAGGGUGGCGCAUCAGGAUCUUUCGCCACAGCUUCCGCAGGAUCCAUCAACGCAAAUGGACCCACCGGGGGACAAAGUCACGCGAACGCACAAAGCGCCAGCUUCAACUUCGGACCGUAUUCCGCAUCUUUCAGCGUCGCUGAAUCUUCAUCGGGUGGCCAAAAGUUUUAAAAGACGUCCAAGGUAAUUGUUUGUCUUCGGCAUGGAGCUUCGCUUAACUCUUGCAACAGUCAACAAUUCACACGUUCUCGCAGAAUUUUUUAAAAUUUUACUCUCUAUCGUUCUCGUCUUCUCCGUAUGCAACUCGUAGGAGAAAUUUAAAAAAUCCAAAAUUCUAAUCGGCCAAGCGUUCUACGAACGACAGUUUACCUUCUCCUAUUCCACUUCCAUAGUGACAUUUCUUUAAAAAUUAUUCGACUUUUAUUUUAACCGAGUAUAUAUAAGACGCAACAAGUGCGUCAUCGAUGUUGAACGCGUAGAUGAUACUUUCUUUAAAACGCUGUACAUCGGAUCCCGUACACAGAGAAAAUCUUUUUCCGAGUUCCUCCUACACAUAACACGUGUAACGACCACGCCAGUCGACACGCUUCGUCCCGUGUCCCAUAACCGAGAAUAUUAAUUGACUUCGCGCGCGCGCGCGCGCGUGCAACCGCAGCACGCGCGACGCAACUCAACGAGCAUCAUCAUCGCCAACCGGCACACCAGUCGAGACGAAUCAGUUUGACGUGAAUCGGUUCUUCCUGUAAUUCCUUCAGGCGCAGAUGCCUGAGCGUACGCUUCUGUUUACGAGCGUGGAAUCCUCGCCGUCGACUAAUCGCCAGUCCUGUCUUCUCUCUCCUUCGAUCGCGUGCUAAAUACACCUAAUCACGAGCCAAAGCCUAUUGUAUGGAUCCUGAGGAACGUGAUUUCGCGGGAACAAACGUAUCAAGUCGACCAUUGGACCCUCCAGAUAUCCAUCCCCAAUGGACAGGAUCAGCAGCCUAAUCCACGAUGGGGUCGAUCGACGAUCCACGGCUGCGUCCAAGCCAUUGUUUACAAACAUUCUACGUCACUAGGUAUAAGUAAAUAGAGCCGACCAGGCUAACGAAAACGGACGAACCACCCUCCGUUCCUGAAGAUUUCCUGAGGGCCAGUUCCCUUUGUCCGAGCGCCAGAUGUUCCCGCGAAUAAAACCAAUAAAAUAUCGCGAUGCAGUUUCGUUGGCGGCGAAGCGGCGGAGGGACGAGGACAGCCGGUGCAAGGAAGCGAAGGAGCAGCGGGUCGGGGGGCUGAGGAUUAAACAGCACAAAGGGAGACGAAAAGAAGAGGAAGAGGGCCUUCGUAAAAAAAAGGACGAAAACCGAAAAAUCGGGAUCCGUAGGGAGGCGUGCAAUGACCGGGACUGAAUCGUGCACACGCGCGCGCGUGAUGUUCGACGGACACGCUAUCUAUCCGCCUCGAACUUUCUCCAUCGAAAGCCUGUUUCGUUGAAAAUAAAAAGCCCUGAAAAAGAAA